ensembl:snoRNA
CAGCGGCCCUUAUCGAAGCUGCAGCUGCUUCUGUGUGUAGUUGCAGUCAAAAAGGAGCCCAGAGUAACAAUUUUCCUUGACGGUCGCCGUUCUGUUUGCUGUAACUGAUCUGCAACAUUUUGGGGAAAGACAGUU